ensembl:lncRNA
AGCAGCCAUGUAAUUGUGAUGCCUUAAUCUCUUCCCUUUAGAAGGCAAAAGAAGAAGGAAGGUGUGAGAAGAGAGUGUCGGCAGCUGGGACUUGACCUGUGUUCAGCAUUGUUUUUUUUUUUUUAGCUACAUUUUGACAGCUUCAGAAGUAUUAAUAAGUGUUCAGCUGGAAAGACAGAGAGAAGCAGAGAAGCCAAAACUGGAAUAGGAGAAGAAUCGCAAAGGUGACAGUAAGAGGUAUUGCUUCUUAUUUUAUGGAAGAAAUCUUCCAGUUGUUGGGAAGACAAUCAGUGAAGCUGAAAAAAAGAAAAAUAAAUAAUCCCAGAAGCCAGAAUUUCUUUUCAUGUUUUCUACAUCACAGAAUCAAAAAGACCUUUGCUUUGAGAUGGGACGUGAUCGUGACUAAAUCUAAGUGCACUGUGACCACUGCAACGCCGGACGAGGUCACCUCCGUGCUAUCUUGUAUGCACAAAAGUGAGGCUGACUGACCUGUAGUUUCCUGGCUCUUCCUUUCUACCCUGCUAAAACAUGGGAGUGACAUUUCCAUUUUUUGAAUCACCAUGG